rnacentral:lncRNA from 1 species
AGGUCAAGGCUGCAGUGAGCCAUGAUAGCACCACUGCACUCCAGCCUGGGUGACAGAGUGAGACCCUGCCCACUUCCUGCAUUUUAUAUGGCACAUUGGUUGGAAGUUCUAACAACAGGUUAUGUUAGAGAUAGGUAGUUGUGGGUAUUAUACUUCUAGACAUGGCUGAAGCCUAUCUGGAAAGAGAUAUCUCAGCUGCACUGUUAUUUUUAUACGUGAAGAGCAGUUCUUCACAGUUAUCAGAGUGAAAAUUCCAUCUGCUACUUGCUAUAUACAGACUCUGAGCAGAAGCCCCAGACCUUUAAAAAUGCUUAUUUGUUACAAGAAAAUACAAUACAUUUUCAGAAUCCUCAAAUAUUGAACCAGAAAGAUUAUAGAAAAUUCUAUGCCAACAAAAGCCAGUAGAGAUUACAAACAUUAUCUGGAGAGGAAAACAAAAGUAUCCUGAAUAUCCCUAUUGAGUAAACUGCCUCAUUAUUUAGUUUUAAAACACAAUUUAGAUUUUUUUCCUCUAUUGUCACUGAUAUAAUUUCAAAGUUAGGCCGAUAAUUGAAGAGUGGGUGAGCAAGACACGUACUGUACACGGCAGGGGCAAGUAGAACCGAGGAGGCAGGGGGACACAUGAGCAAGUUUAACUUUUGAUUCUUUUUAGAAAAGAAAACAAUGAGAAAGAAAACAAUUUAUUAAAUGAGAGGUAGUCACACAUACCUCCAGAAUAUCAAAAUUUAAGCAGCUGGUAUGGCAUUUCAAAUAUGCAUUGUGGGCUGUUCCUUUAGAAAGUCAUCAUAACCUCUGCUUUUCAUUGUCUGUAAAAAAUAGAUGUUAAAUGGCUCUGAGUUUUAAGAGAACACUCGGGCAUCACAAAUUCUCCAAAACAUGUUUGUUUGCUGUUUCCUAAAUAUUUAAUACAAUGCAUAUAUAGGCUAGCAUACAUUGUGAUUGCCUGAUAU